GGAUCAGUGAAACACACUGCGGUUAUUUUUAAUCGAGACUGAAGUGAAAGCUUCACUCAGCACUUCACAUGAGUUGAGGAAAGGUACGAGUUGAGGUUAAAGCAAAGAAACCUACAGACUGAGACUGAAGCCCAGACAAGGGCUCCAAUGAGGGCCAUGAGGAAAACAGCCACGUCCAGGCUGAAGUAGGAGUACCAAGGCAGACUGAAACCUGCUGACUUCAGAUGGGCAGCUCCUUUGUUUCUAAUGACAUACUCAAUCCAAAAGAUGGCUGUGUCCAUAGGAGACAUUGGCUGGUCACGGUGUAGCUGGGAGAGACGCUGAAUGUUGUUUCGGUACGAGGGAGUCUCCAGGAUGUCCUUUAGAGCCUCAAGGAAGUCUUCUUUGGUGAGUGAGUUGGCCUCCAGCACCCGAGCUGCCCCGCGCACUUUCAGCCGCAGUAGGUUGUCAAACUGGUCAAAGAGGAGCGGCAGGCCCAGAACGGGAACACCAUGGUAGAUGGCCUCAUACAUGCCGUUGGUGCCUCCAUGAGCAACAAAGACACGAGUCUUUGGGUGUCCCAGGAUAUCGCUCUGAGGCAGCCAGUUCACCAGCAGGGUGUUGUUCCCCAGAGAUGAAGGCUUUUCACCCACAAACCGCCACACCACCUUCUGAGGGAGGUCAGCAAAAGCAGCAGCAAUGGCCUCGGUGGUAUCACGAGGCAGGGCUGACACAAACGUCCCCAGAGACAUGAUCACCACCCCAUGCUCCCCAGAGCUCUGCAUGAAGGCCUCCAACUCAGCAGGGAGGGGUCUGGCCUUUUUGCACUGGAACCCCCCUAUGUGGACCACAUUGGGCAUCGUGGGUCGAGGGAACUCAAAGACAAAAUCUGUCCUCAACAGCCAGAUGUCAGCUGCAAACUGCAAAGACAGCAAGUCAGUCCCAGGAGGGAAGUGCCGCCGGAACAGAUCUGAGUAGGGAGGGUUGAUGAUAAAGUGCUGUUCAACAACACUGUAGAGAUGAUGUAACAUGUUCUUGGUCCUUUCCAGGAAAUCCAUCUGAUCAUGAAGUUCACUUCCUGACACGGGGACAUAGGAGACAGGAGAAGGAGCUAUGGUGAGAUGGCCCUCCCCGACAUUGAUCCAGCGCACGUUGAAAACCAUCGGCAGCUUGAGGACAAACUUUUGUCUCUGUGGGACCCUGCCGAAUUCUCUGAAUUCUGGCAGUGCCUGCAGACCAGCGGAAGUGUGAUUAAAUCAACUGCUGUGCUCUGGAGGACCGGUGGCAGUGGAGACCAGCGCACCAAAAAAAAAAAAAAAAAAGGAUGUGUCUAGACCAAGUGCGCCCCCUGCAGGGAGGUCAGGGAGGUGUAUCUGGCUGAUGAUGAGGAGGAGGCGGCGGCGUGGGAUGCUGCUCUUCUCUUGAGCUCUCUGGAGAUCUGGAGCCAAGAUAGCGGAUAGCAGCAGCAUCCGUACAGGCAGUCGCUCCACACACUCCCCUGUAACACACACACACAUACACAUACACACAGAGCAGCUUAAACACAGGUGGGAGGCUCGAACAAAAGGUGAACAUUUACAUUUAGGUGCAAAAACUUUUUUUUGCUGUAAUACAGUGUUACAUUCACGUGUGGUAUUAUGAGAUUAUAGUCACAUCCUUUGUAAUUAACAGUGUUAUCUGAAGUUAUCUGGACUAAUUUAUAUUCAUAUUUAAAAAUUUGCCAUCAAUGAUGAACACAAGAUAAACACACAAGUGCUGCAGAGGGCGAAAUUAAGUGAAUAUGCUAAUAACCAAAGUGCAAAAGUAAUGAUGUACAGCAGUAUACAGCUGCCUGAAGUUAGCAGUAUUAUCAGUGUAACAGUAAUAGUCCUGCUCUUCUGUUUCAGUUAUAUUCUCCCUCUGAGGACUGUGAGUUUCUUGCAGCCAAGUCUUUGCUCUUAGCAACAGCAACCCCGGUGAAGAGCGUGUCAGUCAUGUCAAGAUGGAGAUGCUGCUCAUGCUCCGCGGCACUGACAGCGAUCCACGGCCCACUCCACCUCCGGAGAAGCCAACAUUAUACCAACCACCUCCUUCUCUCCGAUGGCAGUGCUCCAGCUUCUGCUCCAGCCUGGCCUCCAACGACUCCCACCUCCUGCCUUAUCUCUCCCUCUCUUCACUGUCCCAGAAACAGCUUAUUCAACAUCAACUCGCAUCUUGGCCCUGGCAUGUGUUGUUUGCAUGUGGAAAAUCUCGCUUUUACUUUCUGUGCACUGAUCAGUGACGGAGACCUGAUGUCUGUUGAGAUCUACGGUC